rnacentral:tRNA from 1 species
GCCUCAUUGGUGUAGUGGUCACAUACCGUCCUUCCAAGUCGUAGUGUCGGGUUCGAUUCCCGAAUGAGGCU